AUGCAGCAUGGCAACUGUGAGAAACAGGUUUGGCAGGACGCUUUAAGCUGUUUGCACAGACAGCCUCUUCAGAGCCACAUCCCUGCUUUGCCGAUCUCCCAGCUGGAUGCUCCGCUCUGCCACACUGGCCCUGCUGAGCUGGAGAGGAUGGACACACUGCGCAGGAGCCUUUCUCGAUGGAAGAGGUACCACAUUAAGGUGCACCUGGCUGAUGAGGACCUGAUGAUGCCCCUGACGGUCAGGCCCAGGGAUACGGUGAUGGACCUACGGGCUCUCUUGGUACGGGAGGGCAUCACUUCCUGGAAGAAGACAUUUUAUUACAACUCCAGGCAGCUCGAGGAGCACGAGACUCUCAAAGAAGCCAAUAUUCAGAAUGGUUCUGUCCUCCUCCUUGUCAGCAAUAAAAGAUAAUGCCAAAGAGCACAGCCAAAGCCAUGAGAGACGGGGAGUGUGAGAAGGGCUGAAGGAAAGCAGAUGGAAGAGAGCUUGCCCACGGGAAGGCAGUCUGGCCACCAGUGUUGGUAAGUCCCUCCCUGCAUGCCAGCUCAAGGACUGUUCAGAAAGCAGCUCCAAGUGUUUUCAGCAUGGUGCCCAUGAAUAAUUAACCCAAACAAAACAACAAAUAGUGUUUCCUCAUCAGCACUCCAUGUGGUCCCAGCUGCCAAUGGAUGGUAGUAAGACUUACUCAGCUCCUGAGAGUAAUGAAUCAGUGAAAUGCACAGGAAAGGGGAUUUCUGCCUGGGUAAUGGAGCAAGAAGGAGCUGAGGUAGACUUUGCUUAGGGCCCUAGAUGGGGACAUGGGACAUCUGAGCCUCCUUCUGACUUGUUCUCAGGAUUCUGCAGAAAGUUGCUGGUCUUGGCUUUUGUUUUCCUACAUGUAAGUGUGAGAUAAUUAUUUUUCCCUUUCAGCCUGUCCAUCCAGCUGUCAAUGACUCAGGUUAGGACUGUCUGGGCUCAAGAAUACUUUGUAUACAGUGGAGCUCCAUUUCCAGAUUACAAGCUCUGUACAGCAAAUGAUUGAUAAGUGCACUAGAAACAGUCCUGGAGCUUGGCAGCCUCUGUAUGUCCAAAGGACAGGAACUGCUUGGUCUCUGUUACAGCAAGCACCUCACCUGAUCUCAGGGACCCACAAGUUCACCAAAACUGCCUCAUUUUGGAGCCAGGGUUUAUAUGGCAA
rnacentral:lncRNA from 1 species